rnacentral:sRNA from 1 species
UUUAAGGGCGUAUGGUGGAUGCCUUGGCAUGAAGUAGCGAUGAAGGACGUGGCAUGGCUGCGAUAAUUCUCGGGGAGGUGCCUAGCAACCUUCGAUCCGGGAGUUUCCGAAUGGGGGAACCCACCGUGUAUUAACACGGUACUCUAUUUAUAGAGAGCGCACCUGGGGAAGUGAAACAUCUCAGUACCCAGAGGAACAGAGACAAUAUUUGCAUUCCCUAAGUAGCGGCGAGCGAAAAGGGAGGAGCCCAAACCAUUCUGCUUGCAGAAUGGGGUUGUAGGGUAAUGACGUUGCAUUUAUGUAAGGAAAGUUACAAAGUUGUUUGUUAGCAGAAGCGUUUUGGAAAAGCGCACCAAAGACGGUAACAGUCCUGUAUGCGAAAACAAGCAACCUUUCUUGUCAUUAUUCCUGAGUACUUCGGGACACGAAUAGCCCGUGGGAACCCGCCGGAACUAACCGGCAAGGCUAAAUAUACUUCAUGACCGAUAGUGAACUAGUACCGUGAGGGAAAGGUGAAAAGCAGUCCGAUGAGGACGUUGAAAUAGUACCUGAAACCGUAUGCCUACAAGGAGUCGGAGCCAAUUUAUUUGGUGACGGCGUGCCUAUUGAAGAAUGAGCCAACGAGUUUAUGUAUGUUGCAGGAUAAGUCCGGAGACGGAUGGAUCCGUAGGGAAACCGAGUGUUAAUAGCGCGUCUUUAACUUUUUCAUUAUUUGAGUUGUAUAGUCGACUCAAGUAAUGAGAAAGUCUUUAGUAGCAUGCAUAAGACCCGAAGCCAAGUGAGCUUGCCAUGAGCAGGGUGAACUUUUCCGAAAGGAGAAGGGAGGCCCGAACCGGUUGGUCGUGCAACUCCAUCGGAUGACUUGUGGUAAGAAGUGAAAAGCUAAUCGAACUUGGUAAUAGCUGGUUCUCUCCGAAAUAGCUUUAGGGUUAGCGUCAUAUGUUCCUUUUGGGGGUAGAGCACUGGAAGGUGAGAAUAGGGAGAAAUCUCGUCUCUCCUACCAAACUCCGAAUACCAAAAGUUAAAGUAUGGCAGUUAGACUGUGGGCGCUAAGGUCCAUUGGUCAAAAGGGAAACAGCCCAGACCCACAAUUAAGGUCCCUAAAUUCAUACUCAGUACACUUAAGGAGGUGAAGUUUCACUGACAAUGAGGAGGUUGGCUUAGAAGCAGCCAUCCUUAAAAGAUAGCGUAACAGCUCACUCAUCCAGAGACUUCGCGCCGCAGAUUAUCGGGGUUAAGUAUGAUACCGAAAUUUGGGAUGUUUGUAGAUUUCAUUGAGGGAAUAGUUCUUUAGAAACGGAAUAUGUAUCCGGGUAGCUCAGCUGGAAGAGCAGGUGGCUGUUAACCACUGAGUCGGAGGUUUGAGUCCUCCCCCGGAUGCCAGCCGUUUGAUAUUCGCGUUUCGCGCGCGAGGGGAGAUGUGUACGUCGAAGCCGACAGAUGCGGGCCCUUAACCCGUAAUCGGCGUGCGUGGGGGUCCAACCCUCUUCUCUCCAAUCGGGCGAGGGGCUCAUGGUGUCGGCCAUAAGCUCCUCGCCCCCUCAAUGAAAUCUGCAAGCGUGGUAGGAGAGUAUUCUCAUCCGCACUGAAGCCGCACUGCGAGGUGUAGUGGAGCGUUGAGAAGUAAGAAUGUUGGCACAAGUAACCGCAAGGCGUGUGAGAUCCACGCCCGCCGAAAGACUAAGGUUUCCUUGGCAAUGGUGAUCAUCCAAGGGUUAGUCGGGCCUAAGGGAAUGACGAAAGUCGGACCCGAUGGACACAUGGUUAAUAUUCCAUGACUUAUAUAAAGUUCGAUGGGGUGACGGAGUGUAGUAUAUGGAGCGCAUUAUUGGAUUUGCGUUCUUGUCGUAAGGGAGGUUUCUAGGUAAAUCCGGGACCUGUUUUAAAUAACGAUUCCAAGCGAAGAGAAAAUCUGGAGGUUCGCCAAAGGAAAUUCUAUAAAGCACGCUUCCAAGAAAACCCUCUAAGGUUAACUUUAUGUAAUCCGUACCGUAAACCGACACAGGUAGUCAGGUCGAGAAGACCAAGGCGAACGAGUGAGAGAUCCUCAAGGAACUCGGCAAAAAAGCGGCCGUAACUUCGGAAUAAGGCCUGCCCUUAUGCCUUCGGGUAUAAGGGCCGCAGCGAAAGUAUCCCUGGCGACUGUUUAUCAAAAACACAGCUCCCUGCGAACUCGCAAGAGGAUGUAUAGGGGGUGACGCCUGACCAAUGCCAGAAGGUCAAGUACGGGGGGUCAUGUUACUUCGGUAAUAUGGCUGGACUGUAUAAGCCCUGGUGAAUGUCGGCGAUAACUAUAAUCGUCCUAAGGUAGCGCAAUUCCUUGUCUGGUAAGUUCAGACGUGCACGAAUGGCGUAACGACUGGGGAACUGUCUCGAGGAUUCGCUCGGUGAAAAUGCAAUGGCGGUGAAGACGCCGCCUACCCACAGCUAGACGAAAAGACCCCGGGAGCUUUACUAUAGCUUGAUAUUGAGCAUAUUCGCUUACUGCGUAGCAUAGGUGGGAGACUUUGAAGGUGCUUUUUCGGAGGUACUGGAGUCGUCAGUGAAAUACCACUCUGUAAUUGGGUAUGUUCUAACCAGCGCGGCAAAACCGUGCUGAGACAGUAUCUGGCGGGUAGUUUAAGUGGGGCGCUUUCCUCCUAAAGAGUAACGGAGGAGCCUAUUAAGGUCAGUUAGGCGCGAAUGGAAACCGUGCCGAUAGUGUAAUGGCAUAAACUGGCUUGACUGCAAGGCGUAUGUGCCAAGCAGGGCAGAAAUGCGAGCAUAGUGAACCGAUGAUCCACGUUAGAUGUGGUCAAAGAUUAUCAGAUAAAAGCUACCCCGGGGAUAACAGGCUGGUUCCGCCCGAGCGUCCAUAGCGACGGCGGAGUUCGGCACCUCGAUGUCGGCUCAACUUAUCCUGGGGGUGGAGAAGCUCCCAAGGGUUUGGCUGUUCGCCAAUUAAAAAGUUACGCGAGCUGGGUUCAGACCGUU